rnacentral:rRNA from 1 species
AUUGAACGCUGGCGGCAUGCCUAACACAUGCAAGUCGAGCGGAGCGGCGGACGGGUGUGUAAUGCCUAGGAAUAUGCCUGGUAGUGGGGGAUAACGUACGGGAACGGGCGCUAAUACCGCAUACUAACAGAUGAGCCUAGGUCGGAUUAGCUAGUUGGUGGGGUAAAGGCCUACCAAGGCGAGGAUCCGUAACUGGUCUGAGAGGAGAAUCAGUCACACUGGAACGGAGACACGGCCCAGACUCCUACGGGAGGCAGCAGUGGGGAAUAUUGGACAAUGGGCGAAAGCCUUAUCCAGCCAUGCCGCGUGUGUGAAGAAGGUCUUCGGAUUGUAAAGCACUUUAAGUUGGGAGGCGUUACCAACAGAAUAAGCACCGGCUAACUUCGUGCCAGCCGCCGCGGUAAUUC